rnacentral:rRNA from 1 species
GUAGCCUUGCUACUGAUCUUAGCGGCGGACGGGUGAGUAAUGCUUAGGAAUCUGCCUAUUAGUGGGGGACAACAUUUCGAAAGGAAUGCUAAUACCGCAUACGUCCUACGGGAGAAAGCAGGGGAUCUUCGGACCUUGCGCUAAUAGAUGAGCCUAAGUCGGAUUAGCUAGUUGGUGGGGUAAAGGCCUACCAAGGCGACGAUCUGUAGCGGGUCUGAGAGGAUGAUCCGCCACACUGGGACUGAGACACGGCCCAGACUCCUACGGGAGGCAGCAGUGGGGAAUAUUGGACAAUGGGCGCAAGCCUGAUCCAGCCAUGCCGCGUGUGUGAAGAAGGCCUUAUGGUUGUAAAGCACUUUAAGCGAGGAGGAGGCUACUUUAGUUAAUACCUAGAGAUAGUGGACGUUACUCGCAGAAUAAGCACCGGCUAACUCUGUGCCAGCAGCCGCGGUAAUACAGAGGGUGCAAGCGUUAAUCGGAUUUACUGGGCGUAAAGCGCGCGUAGGCGGCUAAUUAAGUCAAAUGUGAAAUCCCCGAGCUUAACUUGGGAAUUGCAUUCGAUACUGGUUAGCUAGAGUGUGGGAGAGGAUGGUAGAAUUCCAGGUGUAGCGGUGAAAUGCGUAGAGAUCUGGAGGAAUACCGAUGGCGAAGGCAGCCAUCUGGCCUAACACUGACGCUGAGGUGCGAAAGCAUGGGGAGCAAACAGGAUUAGAUACCCUGGUAGUCCAUGCCGUAACGAUGUCUACUAGCCGUUGGGGCCUUUGAGGCUUUAGUGGCGCAGCUAACGCGAUAAGUAGACCGCCUGGGGAGU